UACGGAGGGUGCAAGCGUUAUCCGGAAUCAUUGGGUUUAAAGGGUCCGCAGGCGGACUUAUAAGUCAGUGGUGAAAGCCCGUCGCUUAACGAUGGAAUUGCCAUUGAUACUGUAGGUCUUGAAUUCGGUCGAAGUGGGCGGAAUAUGUCAUGUAGCGGUGAAAUGCUUAGAUAUGACAUAGAACACCGAUAGCGAAGGCAGCUCACUAGGCCUGGAUUGACGCUCAGGGACGAAAGCGUGGGGAGCGAACAGG
rnacentral:misc_RNA from 1 species